CAAUAGCGUAUAUUAAUGUUGUUGCAGUUAAAAAGCUCGUAGUUGGAUUUCUGGUUAGACUGUCCGGACUGCCCUCUGGGUUUGCUCCUGGUACAGGCUGGCCAUUGUCCGAAACUGCUUCUGCACUUAAUUGUGUGGUUGUGGGUUCGGAACCUUUACUUUGAGAAAAUUAGAGUGUUUCAAGCAGGCUAACGCCUUGAAUACUACAGCAUGGAAUAAUAUUAUAAGACUUCGGUCUUAUUUUGUUGGUUUCUAAGACUGAAGUAAUGAUUAAUAGGGACAGUUGGGGGCAUUCGUAUUUAACUGUCAGAGGUGAAAUUCUUGGAUUUGUUAAAGACGAACUACUGCGAAAGCAUUUGCCAAGGAUGUUUUCAUUAA
rnacentral:rRNA from 1 species